AAAAAGAAGAAGAAGAAGAAAGAUGUUGACUGAUUAUAGGAUGCCUUGGGAGAUGUUGGAUUCAGAAUGGUUUGAUUAAGGUAAGCUUUGCUCGAACAUGUGACCUCAAUGUUGAAAUCCACUGCUUAUCAAUCUAUGAUCCUUGUGAUGAAAGGAAUGGCCUGGACAACAAUAUAAAAAAGCGGAAGCCUUUUCGACAGCAUCAAUAUUGAUCCAAUGUGACACAUUGGCACAUGUUAUUGAAUGUUGAUGAGCUUCCUUAUAUUCUCAGCCCAAUGCAGUGUACAAAGACAUGGUUGAUUGACUCAACAAAAGCAAUGAAGAUGACAGUGUUUGUGGUGGAUUCAUCUGUUAGUCGGUUCCUUCUGAAUACAAGCACAAGGUCAAAUGCCCAUGAAGGCAGAUGUGGUUCUAUACUGCUUGACUAUGAUUCCAAUAAGUUAAUUACUAGAUGGAAGGGUGGGACAAUCAAAAUGUGGGACACAAAAACCAUGACAUUAAGAAACAUUCUUUUCUCUUGCUGUGGUUCUAUUGAUGAUCUUGCAAAUUGCAAUAACCCAUGAUAAAAAUCUGUUAUUGCAACAAGCAGCUCGAACUUGGAUGUAUUUGGUGUGGGCUCUGGUAGGAUUCUCCAUACACUAAAUGACCAUGCACAUAAGAUCUGCAUCAUUGAUGCUUCAAGCCACCAUGUGGUUAAU